UUUAAGUUGCUCUCGAUGGUGAUGGUGAAUUCUUAAUGGGUUUUGCCGAGAAUUGGUGUGAGAGAGGUUAGUUGAAAAUUGGUAGUCUGUGGUGACUGAAGAGAAGAUGUUCAAUUAUUGAGGAAAGUUGACUCGGUGGAGAAGAGGUUAGUAGACAAUUGGUAAUCCGUGGUGACUGAAGAGAAGAUAUUCAAUUAUUGAUGGAAGUUGACUCAGUGUAGAAAAAUGACCCAG
rnacentral:lncRNA from 1 species